rnacentral:rRNA from 1 species
AUUGAACGCUGGCGGCAGGCUUAACACAUGCAAGUCGAGCGGGGGAGGUUGCUUCGGUAACUGACCUAGCGGCGGACGGGUGAGUAAUGCUUAGGAAUCUGCCUAUUAGUGGGGGACAACAUUCCGAAAGGGAUGCUAAUACCGCAUACGCCCUACGGGGGAAAGCAGGGGAUCUUCGGACCUUGCGCUAAUAGAUGAGCCUAAGUCGGAUUAGCUAGUUGGUGGGGUAAAGGCCUACCAAGGCGACGAUCUGUAGCGGGUCUGAGAGGAUGAUCCGCCACACUGGGACUGAGACACGGCCCAGACUCCUACGGGAGGCAGCAGUGGGGAAUAUUGGACAAUGGGCGGAAGCCUGAUCCAGCCAUGCCGCGUGUGUGAAGAAGGCCUUUUGGUUGUAAAGCACUUUAAGCGAGGAGGAGGCUCUUAAGGUUAAUACCCUUGAUGAGUGGACGUUGCUCGCAGAAUAAGCACCGGCUAACUCUGUGCCAGCCGCCGCCGUAAAAC